rnacentral:lncRNA from 1 species
GACAGAGAGUUUCAUAAUAAACUUAAAUUAAAAGAAGAUAAACUUGAGAAACAGGAGAAGCCUGUAAAUGGUGAAGAUAAAGGAGACUCAGGAGUUGAUACCCAAAACAGUGAAGGAAAUGCCGAUGAAGAAGAUCCACUUGGACCUAAUUGCUAUUAUGACAAAACUAAAUCCUUCUUUGAUAAUAUUUCUUGUGAUGACAAUAGAGAACGGAGACCAACCUGGGCUGAAGAAAGAAGAUUAAAUGCUGAAACAUUUGGAAUCCCACUUCGUCCAAACCGUGGCCGUGGGGGAUACAGAGGCAGAGGAGGUCUUGGUUUCCGUGGUGGCAGAGGGCGUGGUGGUGGCAGAGGUGGUACCUUCACUGCCCCUCGAGGAUUUCGCGGUGGAUUCAGAGGAGGUCGUGGGGGCCGGGAGUUUGCGGAUUUUGAAUAUAGGAAAGACAACAAAGUUGCUGCAUAGUCUACAAACAAGUCUCUGAAAAUAGGUGAAUUUCUAGCUCUUCAUGGUCCUGAACAUUGAUUUCAGUCUUUGCAAAGAAUGAAGAAGUGAAUUCGCUGUACAUUUGUCACCAGCACUGGGUUUUUGUUUUUUGUUUGUUUUUCCGCUUAAUUUCAAAGAUAAAAUGCAGUUACUUUUGGGGGUGGAAGGCUCAUCUUAAAACAUGAGCAUUAAAUAUAUUUGGAAUAGCAGAAGGUUAAGUAAUUUCUUAUGUAUAGUUAAACUAAAGCAGUACUUCAGUGGGACUUAACAAGUAUUUUUUCAUCACUGAAAGGUUUUUUUUUUUUAUCACUAAAUUGUAUUUGGCAAUUGCAAGUUGCCUGCAGAUAGGGCCGUGAUACUGUGUUUUGAGCCACAGAAGGUUGUGUGUGUGUGUGUGUGUGUGUGUGUGUGUGUGUGUGUAUGUGUGUGUCUUUUUCCUCCUUUCUUUUGGGGAAUCCUGUAAUAUGAGGUAGCUUAUUUCGUCAAUUAAUUAGGGUGCUGGAUGGUAGAGAAUUUUGUCAGUCAACUAUGUACACACAGUAAAUACUGUUUCUUAGGCAAAGGUAACUUUUUUAUAUAGUUGUAAAAUUCCAUUAUAUUCCAUUGCCAAAGAAACAUUAAGAACUUUGUAUAGCUGUAUAAAAAGCAACUAAUUUUUUAAAGAAUAAACAUUUUAAAGUCAGC